UCAGAGGUUGGACUCGAUGAUCUUGAGGUCUCUUCCAACCUAGAGAUUCUGUGUGAUUCUGAUUUACAGCAGCCAAAAAGCUGGUUCUGAAGGCACGUGUGUGUGCAUACACAGGCUCAUCAUGGGACUAUGUGCACACACAUAGCUUGCAGUGAGUUUCUAAUUAUGUCUGUAAUUUUGAAUGACAAAUUUCAUACUCAGAUUGCAAUUUGAGGAUCUUGCUAUUGCUGGUUAGCUACCUAAGUCACCACUCAGGCAAAAGAAACAAUAUCAUGUAAUUUAUUUAGCUAAAUGGCUCAUCCUUGUUUCUGUAUAUUUGCAGUGAACAGUUGUGGAAUGGACUGAAGAUUAAAAAAUGGUUCAUGAAGCACACCAGUCAAUACCCUUGCCUGCUUUUGAGAACAUGAGUUCUUAAUGCUGGCCUUACUGGAGAAGCUGAGCUCCUGGAAAUAUAACAAGGCUGAAGUUUUCACACUAGGCCAGUUAGAGGGAAACUCAAUGUGAGGAAAGUUUUGGUAUGACUGAGAGAAAGGCACAAAUAAAUAACACUUCCACUGUAUGAUAAUAUAGACCAGAAGGGACCUUUGGAAAUCCAACUGCUCACUCAAAGAAGUGUCAACCUUGAUAAGUUUGCUCAGGGCAUUGUCCAGGUGAGUUUUGAGUGUCUUUGACAAUCGAUAUUAUACACUGCUGGGGCACUUAUUCUGUUGUUUGUGAAUAAAACAAACAAACUGUUGUCUAAAUAUCAAUUUAAUCAUAUUUUCAUAUGGUGUCUUAAGUAAAACAGAAUAAAUUAAUGAAUAUUUGCAAGCAGUAAAAAUGGCAUCAGCAAAAAAAUAAAUAUUUUUCUUGGUUCAUAAUCAGAUGUGCAUCUGUGUUAAUAAACACUUUGACUAGAUCUGUAGCUUUUUUAUUUUUAUUUUUGCUGUAAAUUGAAACAGUUUAAUAUGCAGUCAGCUACUGAUAUGUGCUGAUUGUCUAAACUGUGCUGUUAUUUACCUCAGUAUGUCCACAUCCUCUUUAAACAACUCACUUUUAUCAUCUUAGUUGUGUUUGAGGCUGGUGUUUAGCCAGCAUUUUCAUGAGGGAAAAGUAAUACAAUGCCCAUCUGGAGCAUCUCCUUCAAAUAGCUCAUUGUUGUAAGGGACAGUGGGUCACAAGCUCUAGUCAAGAUUUUCACUGGUAAAAAUGGAAUGUUUUCUGAAGAAUUUUGGUAUUGUUUCUCUGGGAAGCUGCCUAGAGAAAUGCAGUCACAAUGUGUC
rnacentral:lncRNA from 1 species